rnacentral:rRNA from 1 species
CGGCGGACGGGUGAGUAAUGUAUGGGGAUCUGCCCGAUAGAGGGGGAUAACUACUGGAAACGGUGGCUAAUACCGCAUAAUGUCUACGGACCAAAGCAGGGGCUCUUCGGACCUUGCACUAUCGGAUGAACCCAUAUGGGAUUAGCUAGUAGGUGGGGUAAAGGCUCACCUAGGCGACGAUCUCUAGCUGGUCUGAGAGGAUGAUCACCCACACUGGGACUGAGACACGGCCCACACUCCUACGGGAGGCAGCAGUGGGGAAUAUUGCACAAUGGGCGCAAGCCUGAUGCACCCAUGCCGCGUGUAUGAAAAAGGCCUUAGGGUUGUAAAGUACUUUCAGCGGGGAGGAAGGUGAUAAGGUUAAUACCCUUAUCAAUUGACGUUACCCGCAAAAGAAGCACCGGCUAACUCCGUGCCAGCAGCCGCGGUAAUACAGAGGGUGCAAGCGUUAAUCGGAAUUACUGGGCGUAAAGCGCACGCACGCGGUCAAUUAAGUCAGAUGUGAAAGCCCCGAGCUUAACUUGGGAAUUGCAUCUGAAACUGGUUGGCUAGAGUCUUGUAGAGGGGGGUAGAAUUCCAUGUGUAGCGGUGAAAUGCGUAGAGAUGUGGAAGAAUACCGGUGGCGAACGCGGCCCCCUGGACAAAGACUGACGCUCAUGUGCGAAAGCGUGGAGAGCAAACAAGAUUAGAUACCCUGAGUACUCCACGCUGUAAACGAUGUCUAUUUAGAUGUUGUGGUCUUGAACCGUGUCUUCUGGAGCUAACGCGUAAAUCCACCGCCUGGAGAGUACGGCCGCGAUAUAAAACUCAGAUGAAUUGACGGGGCGCCCGCACAGCGGUGGCAU